rnacentral:lncRNA from 1 species
UGUGUGUCGAUCCUUUCACCUCAUGAACUUCAUCAAGUUUUAUUUUAUAGGCAUUACCUCUUUUACUAAGAAACUCUUUUUUCAAAAAGACUAUCCGACUGCUAACAAACACCUUUUAUUCUGCAGUGAGGUAGAAGUAGUACUCUUUAGUUUUCUAUAGAUAUCCUACGAACAAGCAUCUAUCGGACUUCAAUCCAAGC